AUUGAACGCUGGCGGCAGGCUUAACACAUGCAAGUCGAGCGGAGCGAGGGUGCUUGCACCUUAGCUUAGCGGCGGACGGGUGAGUAAUGCUUAGGAAUCUGCCUAUUAGUGGGGGACAACAUUCCGAAAGGGAUGCUAAUACCGCAUACGCCCUACGGGGGAAAGCAGGGGAUCUUCGGACCUUGCGCUAAUAGAUGAGCCUAAGUCGGAUUAGCUAGUUGGUGGGGUAAAGGCCUACCAAGGCGACGAUCUGUAGCGGGUCUGAGAGGAUGAGCCGCCACACUGGGACUGAGACACGGCCCAGACUCCUACGGGAGGCAGCAGUGGGGAAUAUUGGACAAUGGGCGGAAGCCUGAUCCAGCCAUGCCGCGUGUGUGAAGAAGGCCUUUUGGUUGUAAAGCACUUUAAGCGAGGAGGAGGCUACUAGUAUUAAUACUACUGGAUAGUGGACGUUACUCGCAGAAUAAGCACCGGCUAACUCUGUGCCAGCAGCCGCCGUAAAAC
rnacentral:rRNA from 1 species